AGUUUCUUGAGAUGUUUCAUCGUACAGCCCCACAAGCCAUUGUAUGAACCAUGGUGCCAAACCCUGGAAUGGAGGCAGGGAACUCAUUCAACAGACUUUGCUACAGACAACACAAAAUGUCAGAACAAUUUCUGCCUUUGAGCAUUCAAAAGGUUUUCAAGGUGCAGCCUUAUGAAGAGUAUGUAACAGCAUCACCCAGAUGGAGAGCAAUUAAGGACUACAGAAGGAGCAACAGUUGCAUAGGUUUGUUUGUUUGAUUAAAAAGAAACAAACAUAAUAAUCACAAUACUGAACUUGCAUCAGAAUGGAUGUCCAUCUUUAUAAAACUUCUCCACUCAGUUACAUUGAUGAGACCUUGUAUGGAACCUGCAAACACAAACCUCUAUGAAUACGCCUGCCAGGAUUAAAG